GUUUAAGGUUACAUCAUCAAAAUAUGUAGGGUAGGUAGGUAGGUCGGUAUUUUCUUUUUAUUAUUUUGUCCAUUUUAUUUUUUGUGCCAUGAUUUUGAAUUGUGUGGUCCGAGUUGUCCAUGGGGCGAGAGUUCCCCUAUUUAUAAUGAUUGGAUUAUUUCUUACGACGGCAAUAAAAUGGCUUAGGGUGGGUGCUCAAAAUAGGAUCGGUCAGGUACCCAUAAUCAAACAUAUAUUUUUUU
rnacentral:lncRNA from 1 species